rnacentral:rRNA from 1 species
AUGUGUAAUAUGCAGGUUUUGGAGACAAGGGAUCACCUAUUCUUUUAUUGCCCCUUCGCACAACUCUGUUGGGCUUAUAUAUGCCCAACCUGGACGCCAACAUACACGGGUAUUCAAGAAGAAAUAAACAACUUAAAGCAGCUGCUGGGCGUGCCAUCUUUCCUCGAGAUCAUUAUUCUUGUCUCAUGGGGAAUUUGGACAACAAGGAAUGACUAAAUCUUCCAGCGAACGCCACCCAGUAUAUACAACUGCAGACGGAAGUUCAAGGAGGAGCUUAAAUGGAUCAGCUACAGGGCGACAAGGCAGGCAUACAGUGGAUUCAAGGACUGGAUUCAGUCCUUCCGAUAG